rnacentral:rRNA from 1 species
AUAUAAACAUGCAAGGGAUGAGACUUUUCAGACGUCUUUUUUUAUGGUUUAUCCUUGCCGUAUUUUCUAUGCUUUUUAUCGCUUGUAUUUUUAUAUAUAUGAUUUCAUCAGGAAUGAAUGAUGGUGGAGUUUAUACGGAAAAUGAUUUUUUAAAAUACCACAUGCUUACUGAUCCUGACAUAUUAAAUAGUCCUAAAGUAUCUGAGAAAUAUUAUUUUGAAUACCAUCCAGGUGAUGGUUAUCCACUUUCAAACUCCAUAGUAUUUAGUGGGGGGACAGAUGUGGAGCCUUUGAAAAGAUAUCUCUCAGAACUGGGGUAUAAAUUACAUAAGCGCAUUCUCAAUAAGAAUGAAAUUGUAUGGGAGAGUCGUUGUUCGAUAAAUCAGUCAUCAUCGUUUUAUCUUUCAGUUAACUAUACAGAAAAUAGUGUUCAGCUUGAAAAAGAAAUUUGUUAUUAGCAGAUGACUACAUUCUUCAGAAGGAUCCAUUAUGAGUUUUGUAUCCACGGGUAAUAAAACUGUCGGGAGCGAUGGGCCAGCUAUCACUACGCCGCCAAUUGUCGGAGAAAAUAACGGUGUUAGUUCAGGUGCCGCCGUAGCCAGCGUUACUGACGCAGCCGAACAAAUGGCAGAACAGGCAGUGGAAUUGUUGUUUGGCGAGUUGCCGGAACCAUCAGGACUGGUAAAAGCCGCGGUGGCAGCGGCGCAGGCCGCCGCUGUGGCGGCAGGGAUAUCGGAUAUAGCUGGUGCCGCACAGGACGUAAUGUCAUCUCUUAUCUCCGGACCGGGAGUGCAUAACGUUACGGUAAGCGGCAGUGCCGUGCCGCUGCAGAUGUUGUUGUUUGCCAGCCUUAAUGGCUCGGAAACACUGGGAGCCUUGUUUACUUAUGUGGUACAGCUAAAAACGCCCGACACCCUGAAUCUGGGCUAUGUCUCCCCGGCGGCCAACCUGCCGCUCAAACCGUUGGGUAGGGGAGCGUUCUGUAAGCCUGUGAAGGUGGCCUGUGAGGGUUGCUGGAGGUAUCAGAAGUGCGAAUGCUGACAUAAGUAACGAUAAAGCGGGUGAAAAGCCCGCUCGCCGGAAGACCAAGGGUUCCUGUCCAACGUUAAUCGGGGCAGGGUGAGUCGACCCCUAAGGCGAGGCCGAAAGGCGUAGUCGAUGGGAAACGGGUUAAUAUUCCCGUACUUGGUGUUACUGCGAAGGGGGGACGGAGAAGGCUAUGUUGGCCGGGCGACGGUUGUCCCGGUUUAAGCGUGUAGGUGUGUGUUCCAGGUAAAUCCGGUUCACUUUAACACUGAGGCGUGACGACGAGGCACUACGGUGCUGAAGCAACAAAUGCCCUGCUUCCAGGAAAAGCCUCUAAGCAUCAGGUAACAUCAAAUCGUACCCCAAACCGACACAGGUGGUCAGGUAGAGAAUACCAAGGCGCUUGAGAGAACUCGGGUGAAGGAACUAGGCAAAAUGGUGCCGUAACUUCGGGAGAAGGCACGCUGACAUGUAGGUGAAGUGAUUUACUCAUGGAGCUGAAGUCAGUCGAAGAUACCAGCUGGCUGCAACUGUUUAUUAAAAACACAGCACUGUGCAAACACGAAAGUGGACGUAUACGGUGUGACGCCUGCCCGGUGCCGGAAGGUUAAUUGAUGGGGUCAGCGCAAGCGAAGCUCCUGAUCGAAGCCCCGGUAAACGGCGGCCGUAACUAUAACGGUCCUAAGGUAGCGAAAUUCCUUGUCGGGUAAGUUCCGACCUGCACGAAUGGCGUAAUGAUGGCCAGGCUGUCUCCACCCGAGACUCAGUGAAAUUGAACUCGCUGUGAAGAUGCAGUGUACCCGCGGCAAGACGGAAAGACCCCGUGAACCUUUACUAUAGCUUGACACUGAACAUUGAGCCUUGAUGUGUAGGAUAGGUGGGAGGCUUUGAAGUGUGGACGCCAGUCUGCAUGGAGCCGACCUUGAAAUACCACCCUUUAAUGUUUGAUGUUCUAACGUGGACCCGUAAUCCGGGUUGCGGACAGUGUCUGGUGGGUAGUUUGACUGGGGCGGUCUCCUCCUAAAGAGUAACGGAGGAGCACGAAGGUUGGCUAAUCCUGGUCGGACAUCAGGAGGUUAGUGCAAUGGCAUAAGCCAGCUUGACUGCGAGCGUGACGGCGCGAGCAGGUGCGAAAGCAGGUCAUAGUGAUCCGGUGGUUCUGAAUGGAAGGGCCAUCGCUCAACGGAUAAAAGGUACUCCGGGGAUAACAGGCUGAUACCGCCCAAGAGUUCAUAUCGACGGCGGUGUUUGGCACCUCGAUGUCGGCUCAUCACAUCCUGGGGCUGAAGUAGGUCCCAAGGGUAUGGCUGUUCGCCAUUUAAAGUGGUACGCGAGCUGGGUUUAGAACGUCGUGAGACAGUUCGGUCCCUAUCUGCCGUGGGCGCUGGAGAACUGAGGGGGGCUGCUCCUAGUACGAGAGGACCGGAGUGGACGCAUCACUGGUGUUCGGGUUGUCAUGCCAAUGGCACUGCCCGGUAGCUAAAUGCGGAAGAGAUAAGUGCUGAAAGCAUCUAAGCACGAAACUUGCCCCGAGAUGAGUUCUCCCUGAGACUUAGAGUCUCCUGAAGGAACGUUGAAGACGACGACGUUGAUAGGCCGGGUGUGUAAGCGCAGCGAUGCGUUGAGCUAACCGGUACUAAUGAACCGUGAGGCUUAACCUU